CGUGUAGCCGGGAAGGCAAGUCAGAUGUGAAAUCCACGGGCUCAACUCGUGAACUGCAUUUGAAACUGUUUCUCUUGAGUAUCGGAGAGGCAAUCGGAAUUCCUAGUGUAGCGGUGAAAUGCGUAGAUAUCACGAAGAACUCCGAUUGCGAAGGCAGCCUGCUAAGCUGCAACUGACAUUGAGGCUCGAAAGUGUGGGUAUCAAACA
rnacentral:rRNA from 1 species